AAACUCCACGUCAAACGGUGCGGACGUGUAAAUUAAUUUGCCCUGAGGACGGUUACCGAAGCGUAACCGAAAUAUAUCGGAAAUAAACACCAAAAAACUUGUGUUUUCAUAAAAGAAUUUUUUAAAAUUGACCUCGAGCCGGC